rnacentral:rRNA from 1 species
UACGUAGGGGGCGAGCGUUGUCCGGAUUUAUUGGGCGUAAAGAGCGUGUAGGCGGCCAGGUAGGUCUGCUGUGAAAACUCGAGGCUCAACCUCGAGACGUCGGCGGAAACCGUAUGGCUAGAGUCCGGAAGAGGAGAGUGGAAUCCCCGGUGUAGCGGUGAAAUGCGCAGAUAUCGGGAAGAACACCCGUGGCGAAGGCGGCUCUCUGGGACGGUACUGACGCUGAGACGCGAAAGCGUGGGGAGCAAACAGG